rnacentral:rRNA from 1 species
CAGUAGCCACGGGAAUACGUAGGAGGCAAGCGUUGUCCGGAAUUAUUGGGCGUAAAGGGCUCGCAGGCGGUUUCUUAAGUCUGAUGUGAAAGCCCCCGGCUCAACCGGGGAGGGUCAUUGGAAACUGGGAAACUUGAGUGCAGAAGAGGAGAGUGGAAUUCCACGUGUAGCGGUGAAAUGCGUAGAGAUGUGGAGGAACACCAGUGGCGAAGGCGACUCUCUGGUCUGUAACUGACGCUGAGGAGCGAAAGCGUGGGGAGCGAACAGGAUUAGAUACCCCCGUAGUCCCUGUCUCUUAUAC